GAUGAACGCUGGCUACAGGCUUAACACAGGCAAGUCGAGGGGAAACGAUAGAGAAAGCUUGCUUUUUCUAGGCGUCGACCGGCGCACGGGUGAGUAACGCGUAUCCAACCUGCCCAUCACUUGGGGAUAACCUUGCGAAAGUAAGACUAAUACCCAAUGACGUCUCUAGAAGACAUCUGAAAGGGAUUAAAGAUUUAUAGGUGAUGGAUGGGGAUGCGUCUGAUUAGCUUGUUGGCGGGGUAACGGCACACCAAGGCGACGAUCAGUAGGGGAUCUGAGAGGAAGGUCCCCCACCUUGGAACUGAACCACGGUCCAAACUCCUACAGGAGGCUGCAGUGAGGAGUAGUGGAAGAUGGACGAGAGUGUGCACCAGCCAAGUAGCGUGCAGGAUGACGGCCCUAUGAGUUGUAAACUGCUUUUAUAAGGGAAUAAAGUGAGAGUCGUGACUCUUUUUGCAUGUACCUUAUGAAUAAGGACCGGCUAAUUCCGUGCCAGCCGCCGCAGUAA
rnacentral:rRNA from 1 species